rnacentral:rRNA from 1 species
GACGAACCGUGCGAACGUUGUUCGGAAUCACUGGGCUUAAAGGGCGCGUAGGCGGGCGGCCAAGUCAGAGGUGAAAUCCCACGGCUCAACCGUGGAACCGCCCCCUGAUACUGGCGGCCUGGAGGGAGGUAGGGGCGUGCGGAACUUCCGGUGGAGCGGUGAAAUGCGUAGAUAUCGGAAGGAACACCGGUGGCGAAAGCGGCGCGCUGGACCUCUACUGACGCUGAGGCGCGAAAGCCAGGGGAGCAAACGGG